UUUCCGUAGGUGAACCUGCGGAAGGAUCAUUAUUGUAUAACCGAGGUGCGAGGGCAGUCGCUGACCCGAAAGGUCGUGCACGCCCGAGUGCCCUCACACACAUCCAUCUCACCCCUAUGUGCACCACCGCGUGGGUCCCCCUUUGGCUUGUUCGGAGGGGGGCUUACGUUUUCACACAAACUUUGUAUGCAGUGUAGAAUGUAUUUUUUGUUUUUGCGAUCACGCAAUCAAUACAACUUUCAACAACGGAUCUCUUGGCUCUC
rnacentral:misc_RNA from 1 species